rnacentral:rRNA from 1 species
UACGAAGGGGGCUAGCGUUGCUCGGAAUCACUGGGCGUAAAGCGCACGUAGGCGGACUCUUAAGUCGGUGGUGGAAUCCUGGAGCUCAACUCCAGAACUGCCUUCGAUACUGAGAGUCUCGAGUCCGGGAGAGGUGAGUGGAACUGCGAGUGUAGAGGUGAAAUGCGUAGAUAUCGUAAGGAAGACCAGUGGCGAAGGCGGGUCUCUGGACAGUUCCUGACGCUGAGGCACGAAGGUCAGGGGAGCAAACGGG